AAGAGGAGGGCUGGUCCUGCCCGGAGGAAGGGAGACUGCGAGGCAGGCAGCAGAACAGACACCUGCUCUGGGUCUCUGUGUCCUAGUCGGCAUGGGAACUCUGCGUUACGGGCCUCAUUAACCCACGGUAAGGACGCGGCCCAAGCAUAACGUGAUGCAGCAGCUGGAGGCGGCUCUAAUGACCGUGGAGGAGCUGCAAACCAAGCGUCACUGAUUCUUUGCAGCUAAGAAAGACGGCAGCUGUUUCCCCAGAAGCUCUGCCACCAACAGACACCAGGCGUCCCCACCAAGACCGCACACUUGGAACACUGCCGAAUCCUGUGCGCCUUCCCGGCGAUUCCUGGAAACUCAGCUCGGAGGCGGGACUUCUGGGGGACCCUGCCACCCCUGACUCUGCCCCCACAGGCCUCCCUCCCUGCCCCUCUAGCUGCAGCCCCUCAGGACUGCAGGCGACACCCCUCUGCCUCCCUGCAGAAUCCACACUGUCGGGUCGAACCAGACUGAGCAUCUCCCAGCCCAGGCUCCCCGGGGCACCCAGCCCUGCCCCUGACACACGUCCUAAGAGCCAAGCACUUUCCAUGUGCCCUCAACAAAGAGAGUACAGAAGCUCGGAGAGGUCAGGUUACUGCCCGAAGAUCACCCAGCUAGAAGGUAGUGGAGAAAAGGUACAACCAAGAGUCUCUGAUUUCUCAGCUCAUUCGUGUUUGUUCUCAGUGUGAGUCAAAGGGGGCUUCCACCCAAGGUCUUUCCUUACUGAAGAUGCUUCCAGAUCUUUCCAAGGAGAGCUCAGUGCAUACGCAUUUCUCUUCCCUUCUCUCUGUGCAGUGUGAUCCAUUUUCCUCAUUAUGUCUUAGCCUAUUAAUAACCACCCAUUUGUCUUAAUUCAAUAAAAAGAUGAUUGAU
rnacentral:lncRNA from 1 species